rfam:Alcanivorax borkumensis SK2, complete genome
UGCACCCUCUUUGGGGAGUAGCCUGCUUCCGAAACUCGGAAGAGUUCGUGUCAACAUAAUUGGCCAGAUGCCAUGGUGCGAACACCUCUCGGUUGGCGAGACCAUCGAUAUAUCCAUGCCUAAGGUCGGGCGUGUGGAUAUAUCGUGGACUCGAUAUGCCCGACCGGAG